UUCGCAAUGCCCGAAAGGGUGACGAAGCGACGCCGCGUGCGGGAAGAAGGCCUUCGGGUUGUAAACCGCUGUCGGGAGUUAAGAAAUGUAAGGAUGUUAAUAGCAUCUUUGCUUGACUAAGGCUCCGGAGGAAGCCACGGCUAACUCUGUGCCAGCAGCCGCGGUAAUACAGAGGCGGCAAGCGUUGUUCGGAAUUAUUGGGCGUAAAGAGCACGUAGGCGGCUAUGUAAGUCGGUUGUGAAAGCCUUCCGCUCAACGGGAGAACAGCAUCCGAUACUGCAUGGCUUGAGUGCGGGAGGGGAGAGUGGAACUUCUGGUGGAGCGGUGAAAUGCGUAGAUAUCAGAAGGAACGCCGGCGGCGAAAGCGGCUCUCUGGCCCAUAACUGACGCUGAGUGUGCGAAAGCUAGGGGAGCAAACGGGAUUAGAUACCCCGGUAGUCCUAGCCGUAAACGAUGGGCACUAAGUAGAGGGGUUUUA
rnacentral:rRNA from 3 species